CCUACGGGUGGCAGCAGUGAGGAAUAUUGGUCAAUGGACGAGAGUCUGAACCAGCCAAGUAGCGUGAAGGAUGACUGCCCUAUGGGUUGUAAACUUCUUUUAUAUGGGAAUAAAAUGUUCCACGUGUGGGAUUUUGUAUGUACCAUAUGAGUAAGGAUCGGCUAACUCCGUGCCAGCAGCCGCGGUAAUACGGAGGAUCCGAGCGUUAUCCGGAUUUAUUGGGUUUAAAGGGAACGUAGGUGGAUUGUUAAGUCAGUUGUGAAAGUUUGCGGCUCAACCGUAAAAUUGCAGUUGAAACUGGCAGUCUUGAGUACAGUAGAGGUGGGCGGAAUUCGUGGUGUAGCGGUGAAAUGCUUAGAUAUCACGAAGAACUCCGAUUGCGAAGGCAGUUCACUGGACUGCAACUGACACUGGGGCUCGAAAGUGUGGGUAUCAAACAGGAUUAGAUACCCCGGUAGUC
rnacentral:rRNA from 1 species